GGUCGGGUGUUAAUUUCAGGCCCUGACUGACAUCCUCAUCUGUCCUCCUGCCUGUGUUGAAGUGAAACAGAGCUGCUGAAUCGAGUAUUUCCCCCUGCUGUCAUCCAGUCGUGUGAGUACAACACACAGAGUUAAUAUCGACAUCCUCAUCUGCUCUCCUGCCUGUGUUAAAGUAAAACAGAGCUGCUGAAUCGAGUAUUUCCACCUGCUGUCAUCCAGUCGUUGUACAAUUGAUCCAGAAUGCUGCAGCCAGAGUAGUCUUUAAUGAGCCAAAGAGAGCACUCGUCGUCACUCCUCUCCUCUCAAAAUUGCACUGAUUGCCAGUUGCCGCUCGCAUUAAAUUUAAGGCACUGACGUUUGCCUACAGAACAACCACUGGCAUUGCUCCCUCUUACCUAAACUCAUUACUUCAGACUUAUGUGCCAUCCAGAAACUUGCACUCUGCUAGCGAAUGUCGUCUUGUGGUACCAUCUCAAAGAGGCACAAAAUCUGUUUCUUGGACCUUUACCCAUGACUGUUCCCUGCUGGUGGAAUGAUCUGCCUAACUCAACCAGAGCUUCUGAGUCAGUAGCCACUUUCAAGAAACUGCUGAAGACGUACAGUAUCUUUUUCGGCAGAUUCAGUAGUACUAACACUUUCUCUUCUCUUCUCUUCUUUAAAACUGCACUAAAAUUAAACUGAGAGGGGUUAUAGCACUUGCGUAUUGUUGUCCUACUGUUAGUUUAACUGCCUCUUUUGUUCUCAUUUGUAAGUCGCUUGGAUAAAAGCCUCUGCUAAAUGAAUAAAUGUAAAUAGUUUAGUCAAUAAAAUAAACAACACUGAGUGUUACAUGUUUUCUUUUUUUUUUUUUUGAGCUGUAGUAAUUAUACUACACACCUUGCGGGGGCAUCAAGGAGUAAUACUCUCAGGUAUAAAACAGGUGUAGAGAGUACAUGUAAUGGAGGAGUAAGCUAAGCAUGCAUUAGAAAUCCAAGAAAUCAAUGGUCCUGAUUGGGAAACUGAAAGUUUGAUGCUCAAUCGAAAAAGGACUUCACAUACUGUGGCUUUUGUCUUUCUGUCACUCAUGGUGGGACCCUUGUCUGAAACUAUGCGAGCGAGUUUAGAGGCCCUGUGGCUUAUUUCAGUGGUUUUCCGCACUGUUUUGGAUCCCGAAGCUGAAUUGUAUGGGAUUUUGGAUCCACACUAAGGUUGACACUGGGAGGAUUUGAGAUUUGGAUUUGUGGACUUGAGCUUUCAUGGACAUUACUGUAGUGUGGUUUCAACGUGAUUAUCCUUGGCAUCAUCAUCAUCUUCGUCAUUCAGAAGAAAACAGAUAAGACUUCCAUUAGUAUGAUGCUGGGUGUUGAGUGAAAAAAUAAAGUAAGAUCUUUUGUGUGACUAGGAAAGAGUUUUGAAAGAUAAAUAAAAAUGCAACAAAUGAGAAAAGUUUGUUGAUUGUUUUUCUGCAGAUCACAGAUUUGUUAAGAUUGCUAAUAAAUACUUCCAAUGUACUUUAAACACCAUAUAGUUAGUGAAUCCCACCCAAAAUAAGACAAAUCAGAUUAAUAACUAAGUUAUUUUGUGAGGUUAAAGAAGGAGUUGUAGUAUUGCUCCAUAGACCUCCAUUCAUUCUGCACUCCGCCUGCGAGCGCCCCCGUAUGGACAGAGGCGUGUUACUGCAGCCAGUCCAGAAACCGGAAGUAACGAGACAGUGCCAAGACUCGGAACAUUUAGCGAUAGCGAACAUGAUCGGGUCAAAAAAGCUUAAAUAUUUUUGGUUUUGGCCCCAACUUUAUUCAACUUUUUUCAGAAGUUCAGGAAAACUUGAUUUAAAGUUUGGAGAAUUAUGAGCAUGGUUUGCUAAAUUGGGAAUGUUUUUUGGAGUUGCAAUAUUGAAAGGGGCUUAUUAUUCUGUUACAGUAUGUCUUUUUAGUCAAAAUGUCAUUGCAGUACACAUUUAAUUGCAACUGGUCUCUGUCUGAAAGGAGUCAUUUAACAAUUCAAGCACAAACCUAAUAAACUAGCAUAUAAUCUUGCUCUGCAUAAAGCAAUAUUGAUUUUAUAUUGUUUCUUGAUUUAUAUUGUUUUUCUUAUACAGUUUUCAGCUUUAAUUUGUAUAAUUUCCAUUCAAAUUGUGAUACUAACAUAUCAUUAAUAUUGUUCAGUUGAAUAUCAGCAAAUGAUUUAAUUCAUAAUAAUUUUCAAUUACAGUUACAUUACAUUUACUAUAGACAUUGUCUAAAAUAACAUUUAGUGUUAAUUUAAUGAAAUUUAGUGAUUCAAUGUACUUCAAUAAUAAAAAUUGUCUUUAUAAAUAUAUUGUUCAAUUACAUGCUUUUGUAAAUUUGUUGUUCAAAUAAAUAAUGUUCAGUGAAAUCAGUGAAGGUCGCCUACAUUAACCCUUACAUUAUUUAUGAAUAUUGAUGUUGAGUGAUCAGUAAAAUGGUUCAAGGUACUUUUCAGAACUAAAUUAAACCUUAAACUAAGUUGUGCUGUUUUGAUAUUCAUAAACAUGGAAAAAAAUGGUUUAACUGUAUUUGUAUACUUGGCAAAUCUGGGAAGAAACCACACUGAGUUUGUGUGUAACAGUUCACACUGAAAACCACUUGUGUAUUUCUUUAAAGUGGAGCCUAAUUAAUUUCAUUGAAAAAAAAAAAAAACAUUACAUAACAAACAUUCAUUAUUUAUGAACAUUAUUGUGUGUAAGUUUUGUAAAAAUGACAAUUCAUGUGAUAUCUCAUAUGUUUUCAUAUACCAUAUACCGUAAGUCAGACGGGAUAACGCUGUUUUUUUUUUUU